rnacentral:rRNA from 1 species
AUGGCCAACUCCUUUCCGCCGGCCGAUGCCCACUCCGACCAGCAUGAGUGGACUCCGGUUGUUUUAGAGUGUAAACACAUCAGGAAACCAGACGGUACUCCGCUCCGACUCCAUCUUCACUGCAUGCCAAAUCGUCCAAGAACUAAUGCUUAUCAACAACACCCCACAAACACCAUCACCACCGCCACCACCACCAACCGGCCUCCGGUGCCUCCCGAAGCCGGAGCGACCAAGGUGGUACGCCUGACCAAGAUGCUCUCGCCGGACAAUCGCCUCGAGGACGACGACGAGUUCGAAGACCUGGUGGAGGAUGUCAUAGAAGAAGCGCGCACAUUCGGUAACCUUGUGAAGGUCGUGAUCCCACGGCCCAGCCCCGGCAGUAAUCCGGCGGUUGCUGGAGUCGGGAAGGCAUUUCUGGAGUACGCGUGCCUCGACAGCUCCUCCCAUUGCAGGAGGAGUAUGGAUCGCAGGUGGUUUGCUGGGAGGCGAAUUGCUGCUUCGUUCUACCCUGAAGAGUGA